UACGUAGGGUCCGAGCGUUGUCCGGAAUUACUGGGCGUAAAGAGCUCGUAGGUGGUUUGUCGCGUUGUUCGUGAAAACUCACAGCUCAACUGUGGGCGUGCGGGCGAUACGGGCAGACUGGAGUACUGCAGGGGAGACUGGAAUUCCUGGUGUAGCGGUGAAAUGCGCAGAUAUCAGGAGGAACACCGGUGGCGAAGGCGGGUCUCUGGGCCGAUACUGACGCUGGAGGAG
rnacentral:rRNA from 1 species